rnacentral:lncRNA from 13 species
GACCUGUGAGAUGUUACUGAAAGAAGAGGGUGGAUUCUUCUGGAACACUGCGCUGUCUUCAUUUUGAACUCUGAAACUGUGAAACCAAGAUAUGAGAAUAGUUUCUGGGACAUCAGUGGCUGUGAUCCUCAGCAGGACCUGUGGAGAAGAGUUGAGAUAGUUCUUGGUUCUUUAUUCCCGCUCAAAAAACCUGUUGCCUCUGCCAGGAACAUGGAUGAAUCUGGAAAACAUCAUCCUCAGCAAACUGACACAAGAACAGAAAAUGAAACACCGCAUAUUCUCACUCAUAGAUCCACAAGAUUGAUAGAAGUUCUACUCUGUCACCACCUAAGAAUCAACAUCUGGCUGGGCGCGGUGGCUCACGCCUAUAAUCCCAGCACUUUGGGAGGCCAAGGCGGGUGGAUCACGAGGUCAAGAGAUCGAGACCAUCCUGGUCAACAAGUACCUUCCUCUUUCCGGCACUGGGCUUCUUUGAGCUGGUGGAAUAAGACGCCUGCAGAAAUCUUCUCAGCACCCAUACAUCUGGAAACCAAAAUUGGGAAGACUUCAUGCCAAUAG